rnacentral:rRNA from 1 species
CACUUUUAUAAUUAAUACCAAGUCAAAGGAAGGUUAUCUGCUCUACGGAGCAUUAAUAAAAAUACAACUUUCAACAACGGAUCUCUUGGCUUUCGCAUCGAUGAAGAACGCCGCGAAAGCGCGAAACGUAAUGUGAAUUGCAGAAUUCAGUGAAUCAUCGAAUCUUUGAACAGCAUCUUGCGCUCCUUGGUAUUCCGAGGAGCAUGCCUGUUUGAGUGUCAGUGAAUACUCUCAAACUCAAGUUUUCUUAACCGAGAGCUUGAGUUUGGACUUGGACGCUGCUGUGAACUUGUUCACGGCUCGUCUCGAAAUGCAUUAGCUGGUCCACCUCGGUGUUAACAAACGGUGUGAUAAGAAACAUUCAUUUGUGACUGUAGCGCUGCUGUUAUUCGUUGGGGACUGCUUCCAAUCGUCGCAAGACAACAUUCAUGUCAUCUGACCUCAAAUCAGGAGGAAA